rnacentral:rRNA from 1 species
UACGUAGGGGGCUAGCGUUGUCCGGAAUCAUUGGGCGUAAAGAGCGUGUAGGCGGCUCGGUAAGUCCGCUGUGAAAGUCCAGGGCUCAACCCUGGAAUGCCGGUGGAAACUGUCGAGCUAGAGUCCGGAAGAGGCGAGUGGAAUUCCUGGUGUAGCGGUGAAAUGCGCAGAUAUCAGGAGGAACACCAAUGGCGAAGGCAGCUCGCUGGGACGGUACUGACGCUGAGACGCGAAAGCGUGGGGAGCAAACAGG